rnacentral:rRNA from 1 species
GAUGAACGCUGACAGCAUGCUUAACACAUGCAAGUCUUUGGCGAAGCUGUGCUUGCACAGCCUAGCCAAGGCGGACGGGUGAGUAACGCGUAAGGAACUUGCCCUGCAGUCAGGGAUAACAGACGGAAACGACUGAUAAGACCUGGUAAAGUCAGGCGGACUCAUGUCCAGCCUGAUGAAAAGAGAUGCUGCAGGAGAGCCUUGCGUCCUAUUAGCUUGUUGGUGGGGUAACGGCCCACCAAGGCGAUGAUAGGUAGCCGGCCUGAGAGGGUGGACGGCCACAAGGGGACUGGGAUACGGCCCUUACUCCUACGGGAGGCAGCAGUGGGGAAUAUUGGACAAUGGGGGCAACCCUGAUCCAGCAAUUCUGUGUGCACGAUGAAGGUUUUCGGAUUGUAAAGUGCUUUCAGCAGGGAAGAAAAAAAUGACGGUACCUGCAGAAGAAGCGACGGCUAAAUACGUG